ACUCCGCUGUGGCGACCCCGGAUUAAUAAAGGGACUAAGCCGACAAGAAAAUGAAUGAAUCUGUUGAAAUUAUAUUCAUAUUGCAAUGUAUAGCAGAAAAUCUAAAUGUAGCAGAUGUCAUGUGUGUUUAAGAUCUUAUGCCAGUUCACCUAGGAACUAAUUAAGGCGGAGCUGAUUUCAGGGGAAACUAUAAAAAUGAUGCACCACUGUGAGUAGAGAGACAAAUGCAUUCACUUCCAAGCAUUCAACAAGCUAAGGAAUGCUUGUGCUUUUCUUGAGUUUCUCCCUUCCGUAACCAGCCAAUGAGUUCUUACGUCUGGUACACCCCUGAUGUCUUGUGGUUUGCUCUAUGUUGAGAACUGAAGACUUGCUAUGAAAAUAAACCAGUCAGUA